rnacentral:rRNA from 1 species
AUUGAACGCAGGCGGCAGGCUUAACACAUGCAAGUCGAGCGGUAACAUUUCUAGCUUGCUAGAAGAUGACGAGCGGCGGACGGGUGAGUAAUACUUAGGAAUCUACCUAGUAGUGGGGGAUAGCUCGGGGAAACUCGAAUUAAUACCGCAUACGACCUACGGGAGAAAGGGGGCAACUUGUUGCUCUCGCUAUUAGAUGAGCCUAAGUCGGAUUAGCUAGAUGGUGGGGUAAAGGCCUACCAUGGCGACGAUCUGUAGCUGGUCUGAGAGGAUGAUCAGCCACACCGGGACUGAGACACGGCCCGGACUCCUACGGGAGGCAGCAGUGGGGAAUAUUGGACAAUGGGGGAAACCCUGAUCCAGCCAUGCCGCGUGUGUGAAGAAGGCCUUUUGGUUGUAAAGCACUUUAAGCAGUGAAGAAGACUCUUCGGUUAAUACCCGGAGACGGUGACAUUAGCUGCAGAAUAAGCACCGGCUAACUCUGUGCCAGCCGCCGCGGUAA